rnacentral:lncRNA from 1 species
AUAAUUUCAAGUCUUUUUACUGCUAGUAAAAUAAUUAUACACAAUUAUUUUACUCUAUAUUUGUUAUGAUAUGUGUUUAACAAAGUGUUAUACUAAUAAAUGUAUGUGUAUAUAUAUAUAUAUAUAUAUAUAUAUAUAUAUAUAUAUAUAUAUAUGUAUAGGUGUGUAUAUAUAUAUACAAAAUAAUUUGUUACAUAUAUAUAUAUAUAUAUAUAUAUAUUUCCAUAUCAUUUUUAAUCCACAAUAUUGUUACACUUGACUUUGAACCUCAUACUGUAUUUAUUUUUAAUAGUGUGCUUUUGUACAGUUGCAUAUAUUUUUGUAUUUAUUAAUAUGUAUAACUUUAUGCAUAUUAUGGUAAUAAUAACCAUUUUAGACAAGGUGUAUAUUUUAUAAUCACAAUAAUAAUGUGUCAUUCUGUUGGUAAAUAAAACAUAUACAUAUAAAUAAGCUCAAAAUAACAUUAUUUUUUUAUCUAAACCAAAAGAGAUGGAGCAUAGUGAAAAUUUAAAAAGGUAAGUUUCUUUUUUUUAUCUGUUAUAAAUCUUUGAAUUUACCGAUAUUUUGCACUUUUUUAUUAUUACAUGUAUUCUUUUUAGAAAAAACAUUAACGAGAAUAAUUUAAAUUUUGAAAAGUUUAAAAAAAAUGCUUUUGAAAUAAUUGAGUAUAAAGAUAAAAUAAUAAGAAUGUUAUGUGCUAUAUUAGAAGUACAAGGAACUACUACUAUAAAUAUUAAAGAGUUUAUAUCAAACUUAAGUACAACAGAUCAAAUGAAAGAUCUCUUAUUUGAUAGCUCUGAAAACGACUUAAAAUCAAAUAACAAAAAAACGUCCUCUAGAAAAAGAACCCUAAUAACUAUUCCUAAGUUCAAAAAAUUAAAAAAAAAAAAUGAGCUAAAUAUAUUUUCAAGCCCAAAUAAAAUAAAUGACGAGUUAAAUAAAGAAAAGAAUUUUUCUGAUUCUAUUCUAAGUUCUUAUAAAUUAUUUUUAACCGAAAAACAAAAUGAAAAUAAAAUAGAAAAAGAACAGAUAAAUGAUGAGACUUUUUCUGACAUACAAAAUAUAUCAAAAGAAAAUUCCGAUAUCGAAACAGAACUAAAUCUAAAUAAAACUGGCAGUGUAUCUUUGAUAAACUCUAAAUCAAAUAAGAGUUUUAUUGACAGCCAUAAAAAGGCAUUAGAAAAUUUCCAAAAGGAUGAUGCAAAUUUUGAAUGUACAUAUAAUUGUAAAAGCGAAAAAGGACAAAAAAGUUCUAACUUAAGCACAAAAAUUAAUGAUUUAAAUGUUGAACAAUGUCAACUGUGUUUAAUGCCUAAUACGGAAUCGCUACAUGGAAAUUUCCCUCCCCUCUUUUAUAAACUAAGUUGUGGCCACGUUUUUCAUUUAAUGUGUAUCUAUGAAACUGUUAUAAGAAGGGAAUGUAGAAAGACUUGUUGUAUUUGUCAUACUGACUUGAGUGAAGCAGAUAAAAAUGAAAUUGUAAACAAAGUUAAAUGGGAAAAAAAGGAAAAUGAAAAAAGAAGCAAACUUUUAUUUAAAGUAGGACAUUUAUAUCAAAUUUUCUACCCAAUUUUUCAUUUUCAUCUAUGUCAAUUUUUAUCACGCGCACUCUUGCUUUCAUGGACCUUUCUAAUUUUUCCUGUUAUAUGUGUGUAUAUGAAAAAAGUAAAAAAAAUAUGUAUAAUUAUUUUAUUUUGGUUAUUUGUAUAUAUAUAUGUGAACUUUUUAUAUAAGUUUAAUAAUACAUAUAAACACGUAUAUAAACAGUUUACACGCGUGGCACCUACAAAAAGUUAAAUUAUUAAAAAAAAAAAAUAACAAAACAAUAAGGAGUGUUAAGACUAGGAUAAGCAUGAAAAAAAAAAAGACAUAAAACAUGUUCUAGGAAAAAGAAUAGGAUAAACAAAACUGUGUUACAUAAAACAAAAAAAAAACUUUUCUUACCAUUUCGCAUAGAAAUAUAAAACGAAUACAUUGUUACUCGAAUUUGAAUUCUAAAAAAAAAUAAAAAUAUAUAUAUAUAUAUGAAUUUAUCGAGA